GGGUGCUCGAGUGGCGAACGGGUGAGUAACACGUGAGUAACCUGCCCUUGACUUUGGGAUAACUUCAGGAAACUGGGGCUAAUACCGGAUAGGAGCUCCUGCUGCAUGGUGGGGGUUGGAAAGUUUCGGCGGUUGGGGAUGGACUCGCGGCUUAUCAGCUUGUUGGUGGGGUAGUGGCUUACCAAGGCUUUGACGGGUAGCCGGCCUGAGAGGGUGAACGGCCACAUUGGAACUGAGAAACGGUCCAA
rnacentral:rRNA from 1 species